GGAGGACUGGCUGCCUUGCAGGCGGAGGGCAGCAAGCACCCUGGACCGAGCAGUGCUGCAGGAAGAGACCCAGAUUGCUAAAGGCAGCUCCUGGUAGGCUGCAGGGAUCUGCAGGCUGAGGCCUUGAUGCAAGGGCAAAGAGGGUGCUGGAGCCACUGAAGGAAGUGGCUAGACAGUGGACUGCAGUUUGCCAUUGAAGGGAGUGGCCGGACAGUGGCCUGCAGGUCCCCCUAGAAGGGGGGGUGGGGGGACACAGAGUGUGGCACGGCCAGAGUCACUGAAGAGGAUGCUGUGGUCCUGGGAGUGACAUGGGUCCAGGAACAGAGGUGACAGUGGGCGAGACUCCACCAGAAGAGGGUGCAGUGCUAAUUCCCCGGACAGCCAGCAGGAGGUGCCACAGUGCUUGAUGUUCCAGCAAUUCACAUAACAACAAUUUUAAGAAGGUGGUGCAUAUUUGGAAGUUUGGAAGCCACAGUCCGUGCCUCAAGGGAUUUAUCCCUACAGCAGCAAAAUGGAGUGAACUGCAAAUUUCAAGAUUAAAAAGGCAACAGUUUCUGGGGAUUGUCCUGCCUGAAAUUCCACAGACGGGUGUAUUAUUUAGAGGUGUUGAAACCCCACCACCAC